GACGAACGCUGGCGGCGUGCUUAACACAUGCAAGUCGAACGGAAAGGCUCUUCGUUUGUGGUGUGCUCGAGUGGCGAACGGAUGAGUAACACGUGAGUAACCUGCCCUUGACUUUGGGAUAACUUCAGGAAACUGGGGCUAAUACCUGAUAGGAUCUCCUGCUGCAUGUUGUGGGUUGGAAAGUUUCGGCGGUUGGGGAUGGACUCGCGGCUUAUCAGCUUGUUGGUGGGGUAGUGGCUUACCAAGGCUUUGACGGGUAGCCGGCCUGAGAGGGUGACCGGCCACAUUGGGACUGAGAUACGGCCCAGACUCCUACGGGAGGCAGCAGUGGGGAAUAUUGCACAAUGGGCGGAAGCCUGAUGCAGCAACGCCGCGUGCGGGAUGACGGCCUUCGGGUUGUAAACCGCUUUCGCCAGUGACGAAGCGUGAGUGACGGUAAUGGGUAAAGAAGCACCGGCUAACUACGUG
rnacentral:rRNA from 1 species